ACUCCUACGGGAGGCAGCAGUGAGGAAUAUUGGUCAAUGGGCGCAAGCCUGAACCAGCAAUGCCGCGUGUGGGACGACAGGGCUUCGCCUUGUAAACCACUGUCGGAUGGGACGAAAAGAGGUAAGAACCUCCGGGACGGUACCAUCAAAGGAAGGGUCGGCUAACUACGUGCCAGCAGCCGCGGUAAU
rnacentral:rRNA from 1 species